UAAGGGCGCACGGUGGAUGCCUUGGCACUAGAAGCCGAUGAAGGACGUUACUAACGACGAUAUGCUUUGGGGAGCUGUAAGUAAGCUUUGAUCCAGAGAUUUCCGAAUGGGGAAACCCAGCAUGAGUUAUGUCAUGUUAUCGAUAUGUGAAUACAUAGCAUAUCAGAAGGCACACCCGGAGAACUGAAACAUCUUAGUACCCGGAGGAAGAGAAAGAAAAUUCGAUUCCCUUAGUAGCGGCGAGCGAAACGGGAAGAGCCCAAACCAACAAGCUUGCUUGUUGGGGUUGUAGGACACUCUAUACGGAGUUACAAAGGACGACAUUAGACGAAUCAUCUGGAAAGAUGAAUCAAAGAAGGUAAUAAUCCUGUAGUCGAAAAUGUUGUCUCUCUUGAGUGGAUCCUGAGUACGACGGAGCACGUGAAAUUCCGUCGGAAUCUGGGAGGACCAUCUCCUAAGGCUAAAUACUCUCUAGUGACCGAUAGUGAACCAGUACCGUGAGGGAAAGGUGAAAAGCACCCCGGAAGGGGAGUGAAA
rnacentral:rRNA from 1 species